rnacentral:rRNA from 1 species
UGCAAGCCGAGCGGUAUUUGUCUUUCGGGACAGAGAGAGCGGCGUACGGGUGCGGAACACGUGUGCAACCUGCCUUUAUCAGGGGGAUAGCCUUUCGAAAGGAAGAUUAAUACCCCAUAAUAUAAGAGACGGCAUCGUUUUUAUUGAAAACUGAGGUGGAUAGAGAUGGGCACGCGCAAGAUUAGAUAGUUGGUGAGGUAACGGCUCACCAAGUCGAUGAUCUUUAGGGGCCCUGAGAGGGUGAUCCCCCCACACUGGUACUGAGACACGGACCAGACUCC